UGAUAGCUCAGUUGUUAGAGCAUGAGACUCUUGAGCUCUGGGUCGAGGGUUCAAGCCCCACAUUGGGCAAAA